GAUGAACGCUGGCGGCGUGCCUAAUACAUGCAAGUAGAACGCUGAAGCUUGGUGCUUGCACCGAGCGGAUGAGUUGCGAACGGGUGAGUAAUGCGUAGGUAACCUGCCUCUUAGCGGGGGAUAACUAUUGGAAACGAUAGCUAAUACCGCAUAAAAGUCGAUAUCGCAUGAUGUUGAUUUGAAAGGUGCAAUUGCAUCACUAAGAGAUGGACCUGCGUUGUAUUAGCUAGUUGGUGAGGUAACGGCUCACCAAGGCGACGAUACAUAGCCGACCUGAGAGGGUGAUCGGCCACACUGGGACUGAGACACGGCCCAGACUCCUACGGGAGGCAGCAGUAGGGAAUCUUCGGCAAUGGGGGCAACCCUGACCGAGCAACGCCGCGUGAGUGAAGAAGGUUUUCGGAUCGUAAAGCUCUGUUGUAAGAGAAGAACGAGUGUGAGAGUGGAAAGUUCACACUGUGACGGUAACUUACCAGAAAGGGACGGCUAACUACGUGCCAGCAGCCGCGGUAAUACGUAGGUCCCGAGCGUUAUCCGGAUUUAUUGGGCGUAAAGCGAGCGCAGGCGGUUAGAUAAGUCUGAAGUUAAAGGCUGUGGCUUAACCAUAGUACGCUUUGGAAACUGUUUAACUUGAGUGCAGAAGGGGAGAGUGGAAUUCCAUGUGUAGCGGUGAAAUGCGUAGAUAUAUGGAGGAACACCGGUGGCGAAAGCGGCUCUCUGGUCUGUAACUGACGCUGAGGCUCGAAAGCGUGGGGAGCAAACAGG
rnacentral:rRNA from 1 species